rnacentral:rRNA from 1 species
GACGUAGGGGGCCAGCGUUGCUCGGAAUUACUGGGCGUAAAGGGUUCGUAGGCGGUGCGGCAAGUUGGGAGUGAAAUCUCUGGGCUUAACCCAGAGGCUGCUUCCAAAACUGCCGUGCUAGAGUGCGAGAGAGGCCAGUGGAAUUGCAGGUGUAGCGGUGGAAUGCGUAGAUAUCUGGAGGAACAACGGUGGCGAAGGCGGCUGGCUGGAUCGCAACUGACGCUGAGGAACGAAAGCUAGGGGAGCGAACAGG